CGGGCGGGGCCGCGCCGGGAGGCGGGACGGGCCGCGCAGCGCCGCGCCCGCUCGGGGCCUGGGCCGCGGCCGCGGUGGGCGAGCGCAGGCGCGGAGCGGGGCGCCAGGCCGGGCCCCGCGGAGCCGUGGCGAGCACGGCGCGGCCGCGGUGGGAGCGGGACGCUGCAAGCGGGGCCAGAGCCAGGCGGUUAAAAAAAACAUGCCAAGCGGUAGAAGGAGCAGGUGAUGGGGCCGCCGAAACCGCGAGGAGCGAGGCGCUAGGGCCGGCAGCGCGGCGAGUGUGGCUCAGCCCCGGCGGGAGAAGGGGUUUUGUCAGGGCAGAAGGGGGGACAGGGGAACAGAGGGGCCGGCGGGGGAAGAGGCCCGGACGCAGCAGCGCUGGCUCCCAGAAGUAACCCGAGGACCUGGAUUCCUCUGAGGUGACAUUUUCCUGCAGCGAAGCCCCGCGGUGGGUGACACGGCGUUUCGCUCCAUGCUUCAGAGCCUCGUGGUCAGCUGGAAUAACUGUCCCUGGCAGGCCCUGUCCACCCCCUCUAGGAACCAGUUGGUGAGCAGACCAGAAGCAUUUGCUCCACAGGCCAGGCUGGCUGGGCAGAGGCAGCAGCCCUCGGUUGAAAAUACUGCUACCAGACAUCUGUAUCUGUACAAUGAUGAAAAUGCAGCAGCGCUUAGAAUAAGCUCAAGACUGACUCGUUCUAGUUUUGUCCUCAUUUUCAACUUCGUACCAUGAAAAGUUCAAAAGCUUUUUCCACAUUGUUUGUGAGGUUUCUCCAGAGGGAGUAUUUCUGGCUUUGGUUAGAAAAGAACUCCCUGUCUUGCUAAAGAUUGACAAUUAUGUACAUUUUUGGCCUGUAACUUAAGCAAACCAGCAGGCCCUCAGGGUGCUUAAAGUCCAGUUAUGGACAGAAAGAUACUUUUAAAGAACAUUUUUUAAACACUGUUUGAAAUCCAUGCACUGAUACAGCGAUAAGCAGUUCUGAAAAAGAAUUCUUCUCUUAUCUGUAUAUAGGUCAAAUUUAUCUGAACUGCUCCAGAAGAUUUUCUCGAUUUUGAUGCAGACAAGUCUUCUAGCAUUAGAACAAGGGACUCAAAUGUAAGGAAAGUCUCUUUAGCACUUCACGGGGUCACAGCAGGCCACAACGAUAACAUGACCUUUUUACUUUGCUUUUGAUAUGUGCUUCCUGCCCCGUGUCAUCAUGAUUCAACAUCGUGACAUGCUGAAAGAUCAUCAAGGUGGAAACAAUGCAGAGCAGUGUUAGGAUGAUGUGGCCUGCCAUGAUUAUUUUGCGUGUACUUGAUUUAUUGCACAUCAUAUUUUCUCUUUCCUCUUCUUCCAGCUGCCAGGCACGUAGUUCACUCUGUUGCCAGUGUCUUCUCUCGUGUUAGGAAGGGAGAAGAGAACAGGCAUCCCUGGAAUGUGGGCAAGAAGGACAGUUUGCUCUGUGACCCUUGGUUUGGAAAGCUUGACAGAGCCUCAGCUCGUGUAUUACAACAUAUCUUAUUAUUCAAUGGGUUACGGUCUCAGUUUUUUGUUCCAACUCCCUAGAAACUAUUAGCCAGAGCUCACAAGAGAAUCAAGAACUGUUACGGAAGUCAUGAAACUAUAUUUGUUAAAGGAUUGGACAUUUUAUUGUGGGGGGAAGAUGCAGCUUCUUUUCUCAUUCUCCAGUUGGCUAGCAGUUUUUUUAAUAUCUCUAAAUUCUUUUUCUGAUGAAGGCAGUUGUCUUCUGCUAGGAAGAGAGACUCUGAGAAAAGAGAAAGCUUAAAACAAUCCGCUGCUGCAGAAGGAGAAACAUGUCUCAGUAAUUUAAAAGAGGAAGGAAGAGAUAAUAGUGAGGGAGUUUUUGAACUGAUAACACCAACCAGGUGUUAUUCCUCAAUAGACUUAGGGCUUUGACUUUUUUUUUUUGAUGAGGCAAUUUCUAGAAAAGAAUGUGGCGGGUAAUUUCAUUUUUAUUUGUUUCUGAGGUGAACAAUGUUUCUCCCCCCUUGUCUUGAACAAUGGGAAUACAAUAUUGUAGUUCAUGUUUUCUUAAACUGUCAAGAUAGCACAUCUGUCCUGAAGAGCUCCCCUUUGCCAGGGCUGGCUAUGUUCACGCACACGUACAUGACCACUGUGAGUCUGAACCCUGGACAGCCAUCCCAGGUUAUAUGUAUUCAGCACCACUCAGCACUUUGUUCUCCUGCACUCCCUAUUUCCUCCUCUACCAGGACGGGGUCUGGGUGUUCCCAUGUCCCAUUUCCAUCCUUCCCAAGGAUGCAGCUUUUUAUUCUGCACCACUCUGUUUGCCCUCAGUAUACUUCUCGUGUCCUUCUGUACCAUUUUUGUAGGUUGUGGUUUGAUGACACAUCUGCGUCACUGUUGAGUGCCGCCCACCAAAAAAGGUGGUCCUGCUCCCUCCAGCAGUACGCUUCUUCAUCUUUCCUUACCGUAGCGCCACCCUCGUCUAGCCCUUUGGUGAGUCAGUUCAAGAGAGUAGUUUUCUGUUGGAUUAACAAGUUGGAUCAGCUUACCGUGUGGUUUGAUGUGGUGCAAGAGAGGGUGUGGACCAGCAGGGCCAGGAGUCAGGGAGGGAAAAGCAGGACCACCCAAGUCAGAACGGUAAGGUGACUCAGUCAUGUCAUUUAACUUCACCCUUAUUUACUUCAUCUUAUAUAAUUUGACCCAUUUCUACUUUCUCCUUAACUGAGAGAGAAGUCUGUCCAAGUGACCUUUUAAAACCAUAUCGAGAGAAUCAGCAGAUCCAAAGUGCAGGAUAUUGCUAUGUACUGGGAUGCGAUAAUGGCUGGCGUCAGCUGAUCCUUCUUUCUAAGGAUGUGGGAAGAGGCAUUUUAGGUUAUUGGCUCUGAGAAGAGCAGGCCAGAGACUCAAAUUUUACAGUUUUUGCAGUUUGUAGCAGCUGGUAAGGUUCUGUCUGUUGAUUAAAAUAGUUCUUGAGAUUUUGGAACUGAACAAAUUUGGUAUUAAAAACUGUGGUAUCGAUAAACACUCAUUAUGAUGGUGCUUCUAUGUCUCCUUGCUCCCUAUGCUAACAAGCACAACCCUCUGUGCAAAUACACUUACUCUAGUACCAGAGUAGGAUAUUUCAGCACUUUUUAAAGCACUUCACAAGUGACAUGUUAUACCAAGGACAGAUACAUACUGAAGCAGGAAUAUCAGGAAGAGAUUUAUAGUAAUUUAAAUUAAUAUCUUAUAUUACCAUGACAGAUCUAAAUUCACACUGAUCAUUUCACCUCUUUCAAUGGACGUUGAGAUGGCACAAUGCUGUUAAUGCUUCAGGUAAAACAGAAUUCUGGAAUUGUACACUGGAGAGUUUUUACAGAAUGGUACCUAAAUAUUAGAUCUUGGAAAAAUUAGACUUAGCAGGAGCUCUUGCAAACCCAUAGCUGAAUAUGAAUUAUUAACAUCUUUGGUUUGUUCUUGGAGCAAUAGUACGUGUUACAGAACUGUAAUUAGGGCUGGGUUGUGUCUGAGUCUUCCUAUCACGCUACAUCAGUCUGUCGCUGUUAGAAUUAUUACCCCUGAACCUGUUCCUUGCUCACCCAGCUAGCUAAUGACCUAGAGAUAAGAUGGCAUUUAUUGGUAGUAGAAGAAAUGGCCUUUCAUUUUUACACAGAAGCAAAAAAACAGGUCAGCGAGCAAGUUACACAUUCUUCAUCCGCCCACAGUGCAAUGGAAGAUGAUAAUGCUUAUCUUUUCAGGAGGCAGAUUUCACUUUUUUCCUUACUGUUCCAACAGACUUGCAUUUUCUCCCUGGCACUAUUCUUUUUUUUUUUUUUUUUUAAUAACUUAAGACUUUGUCUAAUGCUAGGACCAUGAUCAAGAUUUUUCAUUAAAACAGAUUCCUAGAAGGGUUCCUCAGAAUACAGUUUCCUCACUGUGUGAUAUAGAUAGAGCUGAACUGGAGGGAACAGGUAGAGAAUAGAUAGAGACUCUGUCAUUGCCUUUUUACCAAAUUGUAAGCGUUGAAAUUUGGGUGGGAGGCAAAGCUCCUCCCUUGUGCAAACAUAUCCUCCAAUAAAAGCCAUGUGGUGUGAGCAAUAGUAGGUAAGGGCUUUCAUUUUUUUUUAAAUAAACAACACCUUAUCGAUGUGAAAGGCCAAACAUGGCUAGCUCAUAUACACACAAAGGCUUGUGUGUCUGUGGAUGUGCCUGCCCUGCACACCCAGCCUGCCAUCACCUUAUUUUAGCUAAGGUGACCAUUUCUCCCCUAUUUUAAGAAAUAUUCCUUAUUUCAUUUGUCAAACGAGUUAAAAAAAAAAGCUGAAUCAUAUCUUUGUAGAGCAACACUCGGCAAUGCAUCCGUUAAUUGAACCUUAUUUUUGGUUUAAAAAUAUCAGCCUCAAGAGACUGAGUCUUUUAAGAAAAAGCUACAGCACAAAGCGAAAAACAGAUCUCCCUCUGUAUUAUAUUAAGGUAGCACUGAGUUGCACACCUAGAAUAAAAAUGGAGAAUCUGGGUUCACAUUUGAGGAUCUGCCCCAAACCUCUGAUUUUGCGUUUGUAAUCCAGAUAAGGAAGAGGCACAUAAGGAAGAAUUUUUUUUCAAAGGUUCAUUAAUGGCAAGGUAAACAUCAAAUGCUUGCCUCACGUGUGCACUAUGUAUUUUACUGCAAAGGUUUAGUGAAUGCUAGAUGCAAGGGAAAGCUCUGAAGCGUGGUAGCAAACUAGUUUGCCUUUGUAAUCCUUCAGUGCAGCUAGAUGGGAGCUCUUCCAGAACAGCUCCCUGGAAAUUUUCAUCCAGCCUCAGCAGUCUAUAAAUAGAGGAGGUCUUCAUCUCCUAGGAGGUUUUGCAAUGCCAUUGUGCAGACGAGCUCUGAGCUCCUCAGGAGGCCGUGGAAGAUGAGUUACAGAGCCAUGCGCUGGAGCCAGGAAGGAAAACAGGCUCUCUUUGAAUUUAAGGUGAGGUCUGCUGACAGGUUCAGUGGAGAAUUAACAUGGAACACUUUUCCCAAAAAUGUGCAUGUGUGUGAAGGGAGAAAUUCCCAAAAAUGUGCAUGUGUGUGAAGGGAGAAAUUCCCUUAGAUCCUGCAUUGAAACUGCUGCUGUAGACUGAAAAAUCCAGCCAUAGUGAACUUCAGUUGCAAACAACUAAGAAAUAUAUCUGAGAAAGAUAAUUGACUGUAAGACGCUCUUCCUGAAAGCCAUUUCAUUUCUCACAAAAUAAUAGUUCACGUUUAGGCUGAACAUUUAAAACAGAAGAAGUGACUGUCAUGGAAAAACAAAAAGGUGAGUUUGAAAUACAUUCCCAGAACAGCGACUUAAAAUAGCUGCACCAAUGGUUUCCCCAUAUGUGUACCUUCUCAGUAUCAAAGAUAAUUUUAUACCAUGGGCAGAUUCUGGCUGCAUGGGGCACAGUAUGAGCAGUCUAAUUACCCAAUAUACCCAGCUCGGAGCUAGCUGUUACUAUUCUCCUGGAUGGCUCACAGCCUUGAUUACAGUAUUAAUAUUCCCUCAAUCAGUCAAGAAACAUCCCUGAAGAGGAGAAGAGAUCUUUCACUUUCCAGAAUGAAUGGAGAAAUUAUUUCACUGGUAUCAAUGAAAAUAGCAAUAAAUGCCAUAUGAAUUA